CUGACCCGCUGUUCCAGCGCAUACCAACAUCUGCCUGAUUGUAUCCGUUCUCUGCGUCGGACCCAUUACCCAUCGCCUCCAUCCUCCUCCUCGACAUACUAACUCCCGCCGAUCUCCCUGAGCCGCUGCACAUCCAGUAGGCUCACUCUGGGCGCCGCCCCACUCGUUCCACCUUAAAAGCGACGCCGACGGUUGGCGAGUUCCAAUCCCUUGCUCUUCCUAUUUCCCUCUUAGGGCUACCUGUCAGGAGCGGGGCGUCAAAUUCAUUGGCAAUUGAGAUAACGGGAUCGAAGGGCCAGAGGUGGAAGACCUGCUUUCUUGUUUAAGUAGGCAGAUUGGAGUGGUGAACGACCGGGCUGCCGAUCUGGUGUGUGGCUGUUAAGAUUUGGUUGCAAUUUCCGACCUUCGAUGAAUCGUCGUGCUCCCUGCUGACACCAAUGUGGAAACUUGAUUGGCCUGUGGGAUCGAGUAGAGAUUGACGCCAAUCUAUUUCUUACUUGGGCUGCCACUGUGGGUGAACAACGAUUUCUACCCUGGGCGUGAAGUUUUAAUCAUGCUUUGAAAAACUUGGAUAAUCCAUAUGGGUGGAAACGAGUUCCGUUUUUUCCUUUCCUGUGAUAUAAAUCUCCCGGUGACCUUACGGAUUGAGAGGCUUGAAGGCAAUCUGCCAAAUUCUGUUACAUCUCUAGAAAGCAAUUCAUCAAGUGGGAACAAAAAUGCAGAACUGUUUGUUGAGUGUACCUUGUAUAUUGAUGGCGUCCCCUUUGGGCUGCCCACAAGGACAAGGCUAGAAUCAUCAGGACAUCCAUAUUGCUGGAAUGAACUCAUCACAUUGAGCACAAAGUACCGGGACUUAACUUCACGGGCUCAGCUUGGUUUUACUGUUUGGGAUGUCUCAUGUGGUAAUGAUAAUGGUUUAGUUGGUGGAGCAACAAUUUAUCUGUUUAAUAAUAAAAAACAACUAAAAUCAGGGAGGCAAAAGCUUCGACUUUGGCCUGGAAAAGAAGCAGAUGGAGCAAUUCCGACUUCUACACCAGGAAAGGUUGCCAAACAUGAGCGUGGUGAGAUAGAACGUCUCGAGAGGCUUGUAAACAAGUAUGAAAGGGGCCAAAUACAACAAAUUGAUUGGCUGGAUCGUCUUACUUUUAAAGCUAUGGAUAAAAUUAAGGACAGAGAAAACCUUAGUAAUGACAAUUCUCACCUUAGCGUGGUUGUCAGCUUCUGCACUUUUGAACACAGAGUUGCUUUCCAGGAAUCUGGGGCAAACUUUUUUGCACCAUCCCCUGUAUCAUCCACAAAUGAGCUUGUUACUGUAUGGGAUCCUGAAGUUGGAAGGACAAAUCCUUCUGAGCACAAGCAAUUAAAACUUGCUAGAAGCUUGACACGUGGGAUUAUAGAUAGGGAUCUCAAACCAAGCUCUAACGAGAGAAAGCUGAUACAGGGAAUCUUGAAGUAUCCUCCAACACGCACACUGACUGGCGAUGAAAGACAAUUGUUAUGGAAAUUUCGUUUCUCUUUGAUGUCGGAGAAGAGAGCUCUUACUAAAUUUUUACGUUGUGUUGAAUGGAGUGAUAUUCAGGAAGCAAAACAAGCAAUUGAUUUGAUGGGAAGGUGGGAAAGCAUUGAUGUUACUGAUGCAUUGGAGCUUCUGUCUCCUGUUUUUGAAAGUGAAGAAGUUCGCGCUUAUGCAGUUAGUGUCCUUGAGAGGGCUGAUGAUGAGGAACUCAAAUGUUAUUUACUUCAGUUGGUCCAGGCUCUUCGCUUUGAGAGAACUGAUAAGUCUCGUUUGGCACAAUUUCUUGUGCAACGUUCUUUAUCAAAUAUUGAGCUAGCUAGCUUCCUUCGUUGGUAUGUAGCAGUUGAGCUUCAUGAUCCUGCCUAUGCUAAGCGCUAUUACUGUACUUAUGAUAUGCUGGAAGACAACAUGAUGAAGUUGCAAGUUGGUAUAAGUCGAGAAGAAAAUGGAUACAAGUUAUGGCAGAGUUUGGUUCGCCAAACCGACCUAAUAGCUCAGCUGUGUUCAAUUACAAAGGAUGUUAGAAAUGUACGUGGUGGAACUCAAAAGAAAAUAGAGAAGUUACGACAUCUUCUUACUGGACUUCUUAGUGAGCUUACCUAUUUUGACGAGCCCAUUCGAUCACCUCUGGCUCCUGGGACAUUGAUAACUGGAAUUGUACCAGCAGAGUCGUCUAUUUUCAAAAGUGCACUGCAUCCUUUGCGUCUUACAUUUAGAACCCUUAGUGGUGAAACUUGCAAGGUGAUCUUUAAAAAGGGGGAUGAUCUUCGUCAAGAUCAGCUGGUUAUCCAAAUGGUGUCUCUAAUGGAUCGAUUGCUAAAAUUGGAGAAUCUGGACUUGCAGUUAACUCCAUAUAAAGUUCUUGCAACUGGGCAAGAUGAAGGGAUGCUAGAAUUUGUCCCAUCCAGCUCUCUUGCACAGAUUCUAUCAGAAGACCGUAGUAUUGUGAGCUAUUUACAACGGUUUCACCCUGAUGAAGAUGGACCAUUUGGCAUAACAGCUCAAUGUCUUGAAACAUUUAUCAAGAGUUGCGCUGGCUACUCAGUUAUUACAUACAUACUGGGGAUAGGAGACAGGCAUUUGGACAACCUCCUCCUCCGAGAUGAUGGUCGCCUCUUUCAUGUGGACUUUGGCUAUAUAUUAGGUAGAGAUCCCAAGCCAUUUCCACCACCCAUGAAACUCUGCAAGGAAAUGGUUGAGGCCAUGGGUGGAGCUGAAAGCCAAUAUUACACAAGAUUUAAAUCUUAUUGUUGUGAAGCGUACAACAUUUUGCGGAAAUCCAGCAACCUUAUAUUGAACCUUUUUCAUCUGAUAGCUGGUUCUAACAUCCCUGACAUUGCUUCUGAUCCUGAAAAAGGCAUUCUGAAGGUUCAAGAAAAGUUCCGUUUGGAUCUGGAUGAUGAAGAUGCCAUACACUUCUUCCAGGAUCUCAUAACUGAGAGUGUUAGUGCCCUGUUCCCUCAAAUGGUUGAAACCAUCCAUCGAUGGGCCCAAUACUGGCGUUAAUUAUUCUCCAUGGUGGGUUUUCCCAACUUUUGUGGGCCUGUGUCAAAGUUAAGGUUGAUACACGUAUCUUAUUAUGGCCUUGCUGCUAGGGCUGGUUCCGGAAAUUGCGUGCUGUAUUUAGGUAGGUUUUCUUUAAUGCUGGGAAUUACUAUCUUGUAAAUUAACGAUAUGAUCAUAGUAUUAGCAAUCAUAAGUCAAAAUUCGUUUUGUACAGUUACCAUCUUCUGUUUUCAAUCUAAAACAUUUCUUU